UUUCUGUGAUGAAUCAACUAGCUCACUAUGACUGCUAAUGAAAACACUGCUCACUUUUAUUUCAGAAAGGGUAAAGGAAAA
rnacentral:snoRNA from 14 species